rnacentral:tRNA from 1 species
GCGGCUGUAGCUCAGAUGGGAUAGAGUACUUGGCUACGAACCAAGGGGUCGUGGGUUCGAAUCCUGCCAGCCGCACCA